rnacentral:lncRNA from 1 species
CGCUUGCUUGAUUCAAUUUAUAUGUAUAGAAAGAGACAUUUUUGCAAGAGUUGAAGUUAUAGUUUCAAUACCCAUGCAAUUGGCUGGUCAAAACCGUACCAUAUGACACGCAGUAGGACAUUUGGAGCACUGGCACACGCACACGUCUCAUGCCAGCCAAUGCUCCAUGUCGGGUUCCACGUGAUAUAGUCCAAUAUGGCCGCAACUCUUAAUAGUUGGUGC